rnacentral:rRNA from 1 species
CCUACGGGGGGCUGCAGUGAGGAAUAUUGGGCAAUGGGCGAAAGCCUGACCCAGCAACGCCGCGUGAAGGAUGAAGGCCUUCGGGUUGUAAACUUCUUUUAUGGGGGAAGAGCAAGGACGGUACCCCAGGAAUAAGUCACGGCUAACUACGUGCCAGCAGCCGCGGUAAUACGUAGGUGACAAGCGUUAUCCGGAAUUACUGGGCGUAAAGCGCACGCAGGCGGCUGCUUAAGUCUGACGUGAAAUCUCCUGGCUUAACUGGGAGGGGUCGUUGGAGACUGAGCGGCUUGAGGCAACGAGAGGGGUGUAGAAUUCCCGGUGUAGUGGUGGAAUGCGUAGAUAUCGGGAGGAAUACCAGAGGCGAAAGCGACACCCUGGCGUUGGUCUGACGCUCAUGUGCGAAAGCGUGGGGAGCGAACGGGAUUAGAUACCCUUGUAGUC